rnacentral:rRNA from 1 species
GACGAACGCUGGCGGCGUGCCUAAUACAUGCAAGUCGAACGCACUCUCGUUUAGAUUGAAGGAGCUUGCUCCUGAUUGAUAAACAUUUGAGUGAGUGGCGGACGGGUGAGUAACACGUGGGUAACCUGCCCUAAAGUGGGGGAUAACAUUUGGAAACAGAUGCUAAUACCGCAUAAAACCUAAACACCGCAUGGUGUAGGGUUGAAAGAUGGUUUCGGCUAUCACUUUAGGAUGGACCCGCGGUGCAUUAGUUAGUUGGUGAGGUAAAGGCUCACCAAGACCGUGAUGCAUAGCCGACCUGAGAGGGUAAUCGGCCACACUGGGACUGAGACACGGCCCAGACUCCUACGGGAGGCAGCAGUAGGGAAUCUUCCACAAUGGACGAAAGUACUGAUGGAGCAACGCCGCGUGAGUGAAGAAGGUUUUCGGAUCGUAAAACUCUGUUGUUGGAGAAGAAUGUAUCUGAUAGUAACUGAUCAGGUAGUGACGGUAU